CGCUGGCGGCGUGCUUAACACAUGCAAGUCGAACGAUGAAGCCCAGCUUGCUGGGUGGAUUAGUGGCGAACGGGUGAGUAACACGUGAGUAACCUGCCCUUGACUCUGGGAUAAGCGUUGGAAACGACGUCUAAUACCGGAUACGAGCUUCCACCGCAUGGUGAGUUGCUGGAAAGAAUUUUGGUCAAGGAUGGACUCGCGGCCUAUCAGCUUGUUGGUGAGGUAAUGGCUCACCAAGGCGACGACGGGUAGCCGGCCUGAGAGGGUGACCGGCCACACUGGGACUGAGACACGGCCCAGACUCCUACGGGAGGCAGCAGUGGGGAAUAUUGCACAAUGGGCGAAAGCCUGAUGCAGCAACGCCGCGUGAGGGACGACGGCCUUCGGGUUGUAAACCUCUUUUAGCAGGGAAGAAGCGAAAGUGACGGUACCUGCAGAAAAAGCACCGGCUAACUACGUGCCAGCAGCCGCGGUAAUACGUAGGGUGCAAGCGUUGUCCGGAAUUAUUGGGCGUAAAGAGCUCGUAGGCGGUUUGUCGCGUCUGCUGUGAAAUCCCGAGGCUCAACCUCGGGUCUGCAGUGGGUACGGGCAGACUAGAGUGCGGUAGGGGAGAUUGGAAUUCCUGGUGUAGCGGUGGAAUGCGCAGAUAUCAGGAGGAACACCGAUGGCGAAGGCAGAUCUCUGGGCCGUUACUGACGCUGAGGAGCGAAAGGGUGGGGAGCAAACAGGCUUAGAUACCCUGGUAGUCCACCCCGUAAACGUUGGGCGCUAGAUGUGGGGACCAUUCCACGGUUUCCGUGUCGUAGCUAACGCAUUAAGCGCCCCGCCUGGGGAGUACGGCCGCAAGGCUAAAACUCAAAGGAAUUGACGGGGGCCCGCACAAGCGGCGGAGCAUGCGGAUUAAUUCGAUGCAACGCGAAGAACCUUACCAAGGCUUGACAUAUACGAGAACGGGCCAGAAAUGGUCAACUCUUUGGACACUCGUAAACAGGUGGUGCAUGGUUGUCGUCAGCUCGUGUCGUGAGAUGUUGGGUUAAGUCCCGCAACGAGCGCAACCCUCGUUCUAUGUUGCCAGCACGUAAUGGUGGGAACUCAUGGGAUACUGCCGGGGUCAACUCGGAGGAAGGUGGGGACGACGUCAAAUCAUCAUGCCCCUUAUGUCUUGGGCUUCACGCAUGCUACAAUGGCCAGUACAAAGGGCUGCAAUACCGUAAGGUGGAGCGAAUCCCAAAAAGCUGGUCCCAGUUCGGAUUGAGGUCUGCAACUCGACCUCAUGAAGUCGGAGUCGCUAGUAAUCGCAGAUCAGCAACGCUGCGGUGAAUACGUUCCCGGGCCUUGUACACACCGCCCGUCAAGUCAUGAAAGUCGGUAACACCCGAAGCCAGUGGCCUAACCGCAAGGAUGGAGCUGUCUAAGGUGGGAUUG
rnacentral:rRNA from 1 species